rnacentral:lncRNA from 1 species
UUGUUUACUAGUAUUAUUAAAUGUGACAGAGUCCACAACAACCUGAUGGGAAGCAGUGUGGAUUCUAUGUUAUGCGAUACAUGAGAGAUGUUAUUGAUAAUAUUGUAUCUGAUCACUCUCUCCCAAUAAUUACACUGGUAAUUGUAAUUUAUAAUUUUUAUUAAAUUUUACUUCAAGACAAUUUCUAUAAUUUCAUAUUUGAUCACAAGUUUGUCUUUCUUAUAGUUUGCAGGAGGAUGCUACUCCAAAAAGGAAAUUGAUGAAGUAAGGAUAGAGUGGGCAUAAUUUGUAUGUAAAAUCACAGAUGAGUGAUGAUGGGUAAGUUUUAUAUAAAGUUAAUUUUUUAAUAUUUUUGAGAUAUAAGGUUAAUAAAUUUUAUAAAUUGAUACUUGAAAUAUUCUAAUAUUGCAGAUGGUGUAACUUGCUUGUUUUCGGUGUUUGCAGUUAUGUUUCAAUUAGUAGGAUGAUGAUGUUUGGAUUCUAAUGUAAUGUAGGAUGAUGAUGUUUGGAUUCUAAUGUAAUGUAGGGAUGAUGAUGUUGGAUUGUAUUGUAAUGUAGAAUGAUGAUGAUGGAUUAUAAUGUAUGAAUUUUAUUAUUAAUUUAUGUAUUUUUAGCUUUUCAUAUUAUAUUUUUAGAUUUA